UACGUAGGGGGCGAGCGUUAUCCGGAUUUACUGGGUGUAAAGGGAGCGUAGACGGUUCUGCAAGUCUGAAGUGAAAGCCCGUGGCUUAACCGCGGAACGGCUUUGGAAACUGUGGAACUGGAGUGCUGGAGAGGCAAGCGGAAUUCCUAGUGUAGCGGUGAAAUGCGUAGAUAUUAGGAGGAACGCCAGUGGCGAAGGCGGCUUGCUGGACAGUAACUGACGUUGAGGCUCGAAAGCGUGGGGAGCAAACAGG
rnacentral:rRNA from 1 species